rnacentral:lncRNA from 1 species
AACAAAACCCAAUGGGAAAAAUUAAAGUAAGGAAAAGAGUACACAUGUUUGAAUAUGCGCCUAUUGGUUGCCUCGUUUAAAACCUUGCAAGGAAAAUCCGGUGGGACAAAACCUUGUAAGGGAAAAAGAGUGCAACGCGCUUUAAACUCCCCCUGAUAAGAACAUCAAUUUAUGUCCUUAAGUCUUCGCAUCCCGAUCUUGUG